UUGUCCUCCUCCUGGCCACACGAAAGAGGCAUUUACUCGAUCCCUCCCUUGCUCUUAUGUUUUAGUUGUUGCUGUUGGAUAUUACACGUGUGCGUUGGCCGUUUCUCUGGUUUGCUGGUUUCGGUGAGGAAGCGACCUUGGUAUGGAUUUUACACUGGGCGUUUUCUCGAACGAAAUGAUUUAUUAUUCACGCUGACGUGAUGCUGCAAGUAUGACAGGAAGUCAAUGAAGAACAAAGUGACCAGCAGCUGGAGACAUCUGGGACCAUCACUGUAUGAUAUCUCGGAUGAAGUUGAGUACAUUUGUGUCUUAUUAUGGUUGAUAAUGUCGAUUUAACGACUGUUUGAUGUAUAAAAGGAAAACCUUGCUUUGCCAAAACGGAAUAAGA